GCUCUAGCACGAGGGUAGACUGACUGGCUUGCGGGACUAAUGCUAACAAAUUGCUCAACUACUCGCUUCAAGUCUCCCGCUCUCUUAUCUUUAAUCAGUGUGCACCGAGGGAGUCAAGAUUUAUAGAGUCAGUGUGCAGUGGACCCAUAUGCCUAUUUUUAAUUCAACUAAUUCAUAGUUCAGUGAGCCCUCUAGCUUCAAGCUAUCAGUCAAGUUAGGAGGAGGGUUGAAUCUGUACUUCCUUUCCUAAGCUUAACGACAACUUCUUAGCCCCGAUCUUUGGAAUUUCCUAGUGAGCAAAUUUAUCUUUCCGUGAUAGCUUGCGAUUCCUGAAAGACGGGCAGACUGACUUGCUGAUGGCAAAAGGACUUGAAGAGUGAGGGCUUUCCUAAGUAGAAGGCAUGGAACUAGCGCUUCGCACCUGACCUUUCCACUAAGCUCUUGGAACCUUUCUAUCCCGAGCCGCUCACUUGCUUUGUUUGAGUUGUAUUCUGAUCCUAGAAAGAAAGCCCCAAGAAAGGCUAGUCCUAGUCAUCCUUCUUGAUGGAUUUCUUCAUCAAAGCAAAGAGAGGUUUCAGUCUCAGAAGUGGCAUUCAGUUCUCCUCUGCCGAUGCUGCUACGCUUCUCUGAUCGCUAAGCCCUCAGAACUACAUUCCCGGAUUGGUUGAUGUUAUCUCAGUUGAUGUUUGAAGCAUAGUUCAAGUGAAAAAGAUCCCUAUCAGGUGAGUGCCGAGCCUUUUGAUUAGCCGCAUUUAUGAAUUCUCAAAGUCUGGCCCUGCCACCCCUAC